UUUUCAAAUGGGUUGAUGAAGCGAACUCCGAAGAGUUAUCCCUUUUGAAAGACAAGCAAGUCAGGUUGGAUCAAGAUCUGCUACAACUUAAGCAAGAGCUUCUUGACAUGAAGAAAGACAUCGGCGAGAUUCUUCAGAUUUUAGAGUGUUUCAGAUCUAAGGUAUAGAUCUGGAUAUGUUUGCAGACACCAUAAACUUGUUGUAAGCAUUGCUGCAAUCAUAGUAUUCAAAAAAUAUGGGUUAUUGCCUUCCAAAAUCUUGUAUUACACAUUCCACCGAUCUACUAUGGAGCAGGUACCGCCAAAUGGCUAAACAAUCACAUUUCAGCCAUCAGUUAUUAGCCCAAUCUAAACCACAACAUCCCCUACUACACACAAAUGCUAACCAACUUCCAUACCCAAUCUAAACCACAACAUCCCUAACCACGUUCAACCACAGCAUGACCCUAAACAACAUGGACCAAAAACGUUUGAAAGAAAUCACCUUGCAACUAAUAAAAUAAAACUGUACAGACACUGACCC
rnacentral:lncRNA from 1 species